CGGGGGAGGCCGGAUCCUGGGCUGUGUCCGGUCGCCCUGUGCUCUGGGUCUGCGCAGUUGGAUUUGGGCUCCAGCCUCGCAGCCCCCU
rnacentral:pre_miRNA from 1 species